rnacentral:lncRNA from 1 species
GAACCUGAAACCUUUAAAAAGUAAAGUCAGAAAUGAAUGAUGAUUGUUUGCCGUUGGGGUGAGAGAGAGGGAUGAGUCAUGGAGGGCACCAGCAGAGAGGAAGAGGAUGAAAAGAGGAACGAUUUGAGAGCCGGGAUCCAUCCUCUGAGCCUGGCUGAAAGGAGACAAGUGGAUAUGACUGGAGAUGUCUGGAGGGAGGAGGGUGAGACACAGAAAAGACUCUCUUGUGAUGCCCUUUCCGAACCCGAAAAACUUGGAGAGAAUUUGAACGUGACCUUUGUGACUUAGCCACAUCUCACUUUAGCCGGAUGUCACCGUGCCCGUGGCCAGGUCUCUGUCUCGUUCAUUUUGGAAUCAUCCCCAGCCUGGAGCAGCUGACCAGGGACGGCUGAAUAAAAUAUUUUCUGACUUGAAAUAAAAUGUUUGAAAUGGAAAGUCAAGACUUUUUAGCCAAAAGGCGUUUGUG